GGGCCGGUAGCUCAGUGGAAGAGUGUUGCCCUUGCAAGGCAAUGGCCGCGGGUUCAAAUCCCGCCCGGUCCA
rnacentral:tRNA from 1 species